CCAGUGUAAGACUGUCUGUGUAAUCAGAAAAUGGGUAAAAGUCCAUGUGUCUUAUGAUCGAUAUCCCUUCGAUGAGAUUGCACCAUAAAUUCUUAAAUGAGGCUAGUUUUGGUGAAAUUGGAUAUUUCUUAUGAGUUGUGGGUUGAAAAUGGUUAGGUUGCUAAGCAGAGUUCGAAUACAUAGAAGUACCUUUUAAGGUUGGUACUAAUUGAUAUGGCUUACAAUUAUUCAAGGUGAAAGUGAUGUUCGAAAGGAUAUGUAAGUUCCCAUAUUUUCAAACCACUUUCACUAGUUGAGUCCUCUGUUUUGUUUGAUGGCAAGCAAAGGCUAAUUCUGAGGGAGUUGAU
rnacentral:lncRNA from 1 species